rnacentral:tRNA from 1 species
UAUACCAUAGUAUACGAGGUACAAAAGUUUUUGAUGCUUGAAGAAAUAGUUUAAAUCUGUUGGGUAUAA